rnacentral:rRNA from 1 species
GAUGAACGCUGGCGGCGUGCCUAACACAUGCCAGUCGAACGGCGACGCGCCUUGCUUUUUGGUGGGUGUGUAUGGGUGGCGAACGGGUGAGUAACACGAUAGUAAUCUGCUCUUUCCUUGUGGAUAACGGCAUGAAAGUGAGGCUAAUACGGGAUAUUCUGUGCCUGUCGCAUGAUGGGUUUUGGAAAGCUUUUGUUUCGGUGGGGGAUGGGCUCGCGGCGGAUUAGCUUGUUGGUGGGGUAACGGCUUACCAAGGCGACGAUGAGUAGCCGGCCUGAGAGGAUGAUCGGCCACAAUGGAACUGAGACACGGCGCAGACGCCUACGAGAGGAAGCAGUAGGGAAGAUUAGUGAACGGGGGGAAGACGGAUGAAGCAACGACGCGUCGGUGAGGAAGGACUUCGGGUGGUAGAGCACUUCUUUUGGGAAAGAAGAAGAGCUGGCUAAUAUGUGGGUGUGUUGACGGUACCUAAAGAAUAAGCGCCGGCUAACUACGUG